GAUGAACGCUGGCGGCGUGCCUAAUACAUGCAAGUCGAGCGAACAGACGAGGAGCUUGCUCCUCUGACGUUAGCGGCGGACGGGUGAGUAACACGUGGAUAACCUACCUAUAAGACUGGGAUAACUUCGGGAAACCGGAGCUAAUACCGGAUAAUAUAUUGAACCGCAUGGUUCAAUAGUGAAAGACGGUUUUGCUGUCACUUAUAGAUGGAUCCGCGCCGCAUUAGCUAGUUGGUAAGGUAACGGCUUACCAAGGCGACGAUGCGUAGCCGACCCGAUAGGGUGAUCGGCCACACUGGAACUGAGACACGGUCCAGACUCCUACGGGAGGCAGCAGUAGGGAAUCUUCCGCAAUGGGCGAAAGCCUGACGGAGCAACGCCGCGUGAGUGAUGAAGGUCUUCGGAUCGUAAAACUCUGUUAUUAGGGAAGAACAAAUGUGUAAGUAACUAUGCACGUCUUGACGGUACCUAAUCAGAAAGCCACGGCUAACUACGUG
rnacentral:rRNA from 1 species